GUAGUCCACGCCGUAAACGAUGAAUGCUAGGUGUCAGGGGUGAAGCACCCUUGGUGCCGAAGUUAACACAUUAAGCAUUCCGCCUGGGGAGUACGGUCGCAAGACUGAAACUCAAAGGAAUUGACGGGGACCCGCACAAGCAGUGGAGUAUGUGGUUUAAUUCGACGCAACGCGAAGAACCUUACCAGGUCUUGACAUCCCCCUGACCGGUGCAGAGAUGCGCCUUUCCUUCGGGACAGGGGUGACAGGUGGUGCAUGGUUGUCGUCAGCUCGUGUCGUGAGAUGUUGGGUUAAGUCCCGCAACGAGCGCAACCCUUGAAUUCAGUUGCCAGCACGUCGUGGUGGGCACUCUGAAUUGACUGCCGGUGACAAACCGGA
rnacentral:rRNA from 1 species